AGUGAGCAAUGCAAUUCUGGGAAUGUUCAGGCUCUCUCUGUUCUUUCCUCUCUUGCAAACCAUGGGCACCCUUGGGUCCCUUGGGGUCACUAUGUUACACCUGCUUUUUAUCUGUCUGGGCAAGAGCUGCUCAAGCCACACCUUGUGACACUGAGAUCAGCUAUGAAAAUACCCAGCCGGCCUGCAGCCCUCCCGGCAGAUGCUGAAAAGGAAACCCGACUGGGAGAUGCCGCCCACCCUUAUCCCCAGAGAGCUGCGUUGUUUCCUCUUGCCUUGGCCUUUGGAUCCGGCCAUAGCAAGCAUCCCUGGGCACCUGGCUGAAGCUGGAAACUCGGGAUAAGAAUGGAAGCCCUGGAAGGGAAGAAGAACCGAGGAGUGAGCUUGCCCUGAGGACAGCACAUUGCACUCUCACCUCCUUUGCAGUUAAGUGUGAAAUAGUGCCAAUAGAGUGUAAAAGAAAAGAAAGAAGAUGAUUCACCUCCCAAAGAUUCCCCACUGCUGUGUCCCUUCUAUCAACUUGAUACAAAAAAACACAAUGGCCCCGGGAACCACGUGUUGAAGAUGAGAGAGCUAAAAGAUGGAAAGAGACUGGAGCCCUGAGUCACCACCUGGAGGAAAACUACCCACC
rnacentral:lncRNA from 1 species